UUACGGCCACAUCACUUUGAAACACGGAUUUCCGUACUAUCGCCAAAGUUAAGCAACGCCGAGCCUAGUCAGUACCUCGAUGGGUGACCCCUUGGAAAUACCAAGUGCUGUAA